rnacentral:tRNA from 1 species
GCCUGGAUAGCUCAGUUGGUUAGAGCAUGGUGCUAUUAAUGCCAAGGUUGCAGGUUUGAUCCCUGUAUGGGACA